rnacentral:rRNA from 1 species
UACGGAGAGUGCUAGCGUUGUUCGGAAUUAUUGGGCGUAAAGGGCGUCUAGGUGGCCGCUCAAGUCGGAUGUGAAAUCCCUCGGCUCAACCGAGGACGUGCAUUUGAAACUGAGCGGCUCGAGUGUCGGAGGGGGCAGCGGAAUUCCCGGUGUAGAGGUGAAAUUCGUAGAUAUCGGGAGGAACACCAGCGGCGAAGGCGGCUGCCUGGCCGACUACUGACACUGAAGCGCGAAAGCGUGGGGAGCAAACAGG